rnacentral:rRNA from 1 species
GCGAGUUGGAAAGGGAAAAGCCCAAAUUUGUAAUCUGGCUCUUUUUAUAAGGGUCCGAGUUGUAAUUUUGAGAACUGUUUUCCGUGCUGGACCAUGUACAAGUCUGUUGAAAAACAGCAUCAUUGAGGGUGAUAAUCCCGUAUAUGAUAUGGACUACCAGGGCAAUGUGAUACAGUCUCUAAGAGUCGAGUUGUUUGGGAAUGCAGCUCAAAGUGGGUGGUAAAUUCCAUCUAAGGCUAAAUAUAGGUGAGAGACCGAUAGCAAACAAGUACCGUGAGGGAAAGAUGAAAAGAACUUUGGAAAGAGAGUUAACAGUACGUGAAAUUGUUAAAAGGGAAACAUUUGAAGUUAGACUUGUUAUUGUUGGUUCAGCUCUUUUUAAGGGUGUAUUCCAAUGGUUAACAGACCAGCAUCAAUUUUUGGGUGUUAGAUAAGGGUCUUGAGAAUGUAGCAACCUCGGUUGUGUUAUAGAUCUUGACUUGAUAUAAUGCUUAGGAUUGAGGAACGCAGUGAGCUUCUUUUGAAGUGGAUGUUUUUAAUGUCUUCUCACUACGGAUGUUGGUGGUAAUAGCAAA